GACUGCACCAAUGCACUCCAGCCUAGGUGACAGUGAGAAUCUGUGUCAAUAAAUAAAUAAAUAAAGCAACAGGUAUUAAAUAUUCACAACAGAGAUUUCUGCCUCUCAGCAUGGGUGCAACUCUCAUCCCACUCAGGAUAACGGUGAUGGCUGAGGUACUGAACAUUGCUAAAAAACUGUGUGAAGGUAAAACAAAAGAGGUCUAUGAAUUGUUUGUUAAAUAGGCCAGGAAAAGUCCUCCUGCAGUCUAAGGGCCAGAUGACAGCAGGAAAUGCAGUCAGAAUCACCUGGAAGGAAAAGUUGCAACCUCAAAUAAAAUUACCAGUUGCAUUUUUCUGUUGUUACAGGAAGCAGGUAUUAAAACUGCUUUUAUCAGAAAAUGUGAGGAGACAGCUUUCAUUGUGCCCCAGUGUGAAAUAAUUCCAACUGAAUGGUUUGCGGAAGAAUAGCAACUGGUUCUUUACUCAAAAGAAAUCCUGGUGCCAAGAAAGGCUAUGAGUUUUACCCACCUAAAAUGGAGAUGUUUUUCAAGGAUGAUGCCAAUCAUGACCCACAGUGGUCUAGGGAACAGCUAACUGCAGCAAAAUUUGGCUUUGCUGCACUUGGUAUAAAACUGAAGUGGGUAUCCUGAGUCAUGCCACAUAGGUUGUUUUGAAAUACUGGAGACAUCCUGGUUGCCCCCUAGAACUGUACACUGGUUGAUAUGAAGAAUGAAUUUGGUGUUGAUGUGACCAGCAAAGAAAUUGUUCUCACUGAUGUUAUUGAUAAUGAUUCCUAGAGACAGUGACCAUCAGGAGAUCAAAGCCAAUCAAAAGAUAAACAGUCGUAUCAAGGCUUCAGUGUAACUCCUGAAGGGUUCCAAAUGGUACAGAAAAACUUUGCAUGGGUUGUAGAGAUUACAGUUGCUUUUGAAAUCAGAAAGUCAGUGCAGUGUUAUAGUACUGAUGGGUUCUACUUCUGACCUUAGUCACCAUGAAAAAAAUCAAGGCCUGUGGAAAUUUUGGCAUUCCAUGUGGACUUCGAGUAACAUCUGCACAUAAAGGACCAGAUGAAACUCUGAGGAUUAAAGCUGAGUAUGAAGGGGUGGGCAGUCGUACUGUAUUUGUGGCAGUGGCAGGCAGAAGCAAUGGUUUGGGAUCAGUGAUGUUUGGGAACACUGCACAUUCAGUUAUCUGCUGUCCUCCCCUCACACCAGACUGAGGAGUUCAGGAUAUGUGGUUUCCUCUUCAACUACCCAGUGGUCUCGGCUGUUCAACCAUACUUUCUCCAGAAGGAUCAGCUCAGUUUGCUGCUCAGAUCUUUGGAUUAAACAAUGACUUAUUAUGGGGCAAACUGCAAGCAAGCACUUUGAGCACAUGGAUUUCUUGGAAGAAAGGUGACCAGAAAAUCACAGAAAGAACAUCAUUGCAUUUUUUAGGGGGAAAACUACAAAUUUCUAAUUUAGCUGCAGAAAAAUCAAGCAAGAUGAAAAAAUUUUAAAUUAGAGAACACAAAUAAAAUGUACUAGAGAAUACAUGCUCCCCAAGAUCCAAACAAAAACUAUUCACGAUGUAAUUAAAACAGGUAAGUGCUGUGAAAAAUAGAAACAUGGUGACAUAGGAGGAGUCCGACAGGGGAACCUAACCGAGUCCUGAGAGUGUAAGCCAGCUUCCCCAAGGAAGUGACAUUUCAAGCGAGAUCUGAAGGACAGCAGUCUAUAAACCAAGUAGAGAAAGGCAGUGCUGAGGGCAGAGGGCACCUACAUGGGCAGAAGCUGGGAGCAAGAUGAGUACAGCAUGCCCCAAGUAAUCAGGAAGUGCCAGUGGCUGGAGUGCAGAGACAGCAGUGCAGUUUUAGCUAGAGAUGAGAGCAAGGGAGGCAAGGGCUGGAUCAUCCUGUCUCCUGUAGGCCACAGCAAGGUGUCUGGUCUUUAUGACAGAGGAAAGGCACUUAUUGAAGUGACAUUUUAAAAAAUUACUGACGGCCGGGCAUGGUGGCUCAUGCCUGUAAUCCCAGCACUUUGGGAGGCCACGGCAGGUGGAUCACUUGAGGUCAGGAGUGUGAGACCAG